CAAAAAGCAGUGGAUGCGACAAUGGCUUGGAGGAGAAGCCACGGCCGUAGAACACUCGGCUUCUCUUAAACGCAGCUUUUACUUCUCUCUCCAGCAUAUAUAUAACGCGGCGCUAUCCUCGAGGAUUUGAGGAUAUGGAUUCUGUGUAAGCUUAAUUGCAUUCUUCGUGUGUAUUGCUUGUUCUGCUUCUUCCUUGUGUCGCCUAACACGGGAACAAGUGACAGUUCAAACAAACUUUGCUGUGCAGAAUUAAGACGACAUUUUUACACCUGCUUCAUGGUAAAUUUGGGAUUACAUUUUGUUUUCGUGAUUGUGAUUCAGAUGCAUCGUGCUUUUUUUCUUUUCUUUUCUUUUUUUUUUUGUUUUCUUUUCCCAGAAUGAAGGCAGAUCAUGCCCAUUAGAGUUCAAUGAAAUCUUUGGUUCAUUCAAAAUCCAUGUUCAAAUGGGUUAAUGAAAUGUAUAGAAUUAUGGAAACACUGGAGAAUGCCAAAUUGGGCCGAGUACAUGUUCUAUUUUUGUUAUUUUUGUUGUUA